rnacentral:rRNA from 1 species
GAACGCGAAGAACCUUACCUGGUCUUGACAUGUACGGAAUCCUCCAGAGACGGAGGAGUGCCUUCGGGAGCCGUAACACAGGUGCUGCAUGGCUGUCGUCAGCUCGUGUCGUGAGAUGUUGGGUUAAGUCCCGCAACGAGCGCAACCCUUGUCAUUAGUUGCCAUCAUUUAGUUGGGCACUCUAAUGAGACUGCCGGUGACAAGCCGGAGGAAGGUGGGGAUGACGUCAAGUCCUCAUGGCCCUUAUGACCAGGGCUUCACACGUCAUACAAUGGUCGGUACAGAGGGUGGCCAAGCCGCGAGGUGGAGCCAAUCUCACAAAACCGAUCGUAGUCCGGAUUGCACUCUGCAACUCGAGUGCAUGAAGUCGGAAUCGCUAGUAAUCGCAGGUCAGCAUACUGCGGUGAAUACGUUCCCGGGUCUUGUACACACC